rnacentral:rRNA from 1 species
UACAGAGGUCUCAAGCGUUGUUCGGAUUCAUUGGGCGUAAAGGGCGCGUAGGCGGCCAUGCGUGUCUUCCGUGAAAUCCCUCGGCUUAACUGAGGACGUGCGGAAGAAACUGCAAGGCUCGAGUCCGGGAGAGGGGGGUGGAAUUCCCAGUGUAGCGGUGAAAUGCGUAGAUAUUGGGAGGAACACCGGUGGCGAAGGCGGCCCCCUGGACCGGAACUGACGCUGAGGCGCGAAAGCGUGGGUAGCAAACGGG